rnacentral:lncRNA from 1 species
GUUAUUUUUACUUUCCACACCACAGGCAGUUAACAAAUUCAGUGAUCAGCGCUGUCAUCAGAAAUCACCCUUAACAGAUGAAAGGACAGUACAACAAAGAUAUCGCUUUCCUCAGCGGACAUUCAAUCUUGUUUUAUUGUGAAUAUGAGUUUGAGCAGAAGAAUGAAUGCUGUAUCAGAAGCAGACCUUCAGGAUGAAUACAGUAGCUGCUGCAGGAUGUGAUGGGGUGAGAGGGAAGUGGAGAGGACAGGAGCUGAGACUGCGGGCCUUUCGCUCCAGCGUGAGGGUCGUGUACCUGUGGGUGGAGUGAGUGGGCCCAACACAACACGGCAUCCUAAGCAUCCUUUAACUCUGUACAGUCUCCCGUCAGUGUAUCUCGCUUUAUUUAGACCUUGGUACUGAUACAACCCUAGCCUUUAUUUCUAGGCAACUGUAUUUCACUGGACUCCUAUCAGACUGGCGAAUCUCUUUAAUUACGAAAUCUGUCAUUUCGUAGGCCAUAGAGACCGGAGGGAAUGUAGGUGACAGAUGAGAAUGACCAUCUGUGCCACUGUUACUCCACUAACAUCAGGACUCAUUCAGUGUGAGCGAUCAAAUCAAUUUGUUGUUAGACAGACAGGUAGGUAGGUAGGUAGAUAGAUAGAUAGAUAGAUAGAUAGAUAGAUAGAUAGAUAGAUAGAUAGAUAGAUAGAUAGAUAGAUAGAUAGAUAGAUAGAUAGAUAGAUAGAUAGUAUAUUUCAAAUGAUAGAUAGAUAGAUAGAUAGAUAGAUAGAUAGAUAGAUAGAUAGAUAGAUGAUAGAUAGAUAGAUAGAUAGAUAGAUAGAUAGAUAGAUAGAUAGAUAGAUGAUAGAUAGAUAGAUAGAUAGAUAGAUAUUUUCAAAUGAUAGACCUCAAUUGUAUUUUAUUCGAGCCAAUAAACGAUUAAUAUUUUUGUAACUCUCUCUCUCUCUUCUCUCUCUCUCUCUCACUCUCUCUCUCUCUCUUUCUAUCUCUCUCUCUCGUAAAAAAGCUGUCUCACGCUCCG